rnacentral:rRNA from 1 species
AGCCUUGCCAUGCGAGUCGAGGGGCAAAGCGGGGCUAGCUUCUCUCGAGUGGCGAACAGGUCCCUUUAGGGCGAAACGUACGCUUGAGUGUGGGAUAACGUAUCCAAAGUUACGCUAAUACCGCAUACGAUCUAAGGAUGAAAGUGGGGGAUCGCAAGACCUCAUGCUCCUGGAGCGGCCGAUAUCUGAUUAGCUAGUUGGUAGGGUAAAAGCCUACCAAGGCAUCGAUCAGUAGCUGGUCUGAGAGGACGACCAGCCACACUGUAACUGCAGACACGGUCCAGACUCCUACGGGAGGCAGCAGUGGGGAAUUUUGGACAAUGGGCGCAAGCCUGAUCCAGCAAUGCCGCGUGAGUGAAGAAGGCCUUCGGGUUGUAAAGCUCUUUUGUCAGGGAAGAAACGGUGAGCUCUAAUACAGCUUGCUAAUGACGGUACCUGAAGAAUAAGCACCGGCUAACUACGUGCCAGCAGCCGCGGUAAUACGUAGGGUGCAAGCGUUAAUCGGAAUUACUGGGCGUAAAGCGUGCGCAGGCGGUUUUGUAAGUUUGUCGUGAAAUCCCCGGGCUCAACCUGGGAAUGGCGAUGAAGACUGCAAGGCUAGAGUUUGGCAGAGGGGGGUAGAAUUCCACGUGUAGCAGUGAAAUGCGUAGAUAUGUGGAGGAACACCGAUGGCGAAGGCAGCCACCUGGUUCAAAACUGACGCUCAUGCACUACAGCAUCGUGAGCAAACAGGAUUAGAUACCCUGGUAGUCCACGCCCUAAACGAUGUCUACUACUUGUCGUGUCUUAAUUGACUUGUUAACGCAGCUAACGCAUGAAUUAGACCGCCUGGGUAGUACGGUCGCCCGAUUAGUCUCAAGGAAUUGACGGGGACCCGCACAACGGUGGAUGAUGUGGAUUAAUUCAAUGCAACCGAAAAAACUAACCUACCCUGACUUGGCUGGAAUCCCUGAUAGAUUGGGGAGUGCUCGAAAUAGAACAAAUACAAAGUGCUGCAUGGAUGUUGUCAGCUCGUGUCGUGAAAAGUUGGGGUAAUUCCCCCAACAACGGCAACCCUUUUUUUUAUUAGUUACAAAGAGCAUUUUAGGGAACUUCCGGUGAACAACCCGGAAGAAGCUGGGAGAAACUUCAAGUCCC